GACGAACGCUGGCGGCGUGCCUAAUACAUGCAAGUAGAACGCACAGUUUAUACCGUAGCUUGCUACACCAUAGACUGUGAGUUGCGAACGGGUGAGUAACGCGUAGGUAACCUGCCUGGUAGCGGGGGAUAACUAUUGGAAACGAUAGCUAAUACCGCAUAAUAUUGAUUAUUGCAUGAUAAUUGAUUGAAAGAUGCUAUUGCAUCACUACCAGAUGGACCUGCGUUGUAUUAGCUAGUAGGUGAGGUAACGGCUCACCUAGGCGACGAUACAUAGCCGACCUGAGAGGGUGAUCGGCCACACUGGGACUGAGACACGGCCCAGACGCCUACGGGAGGCAGCAGUAGGGAAUCUUCGGCAAUGGACGAAAGUCUGACCGAGCAACGCCGCGUGAGGGAAGAAGGUUGUCGGAUCGUAAAGCUCUGUUGUAAGAGAAGAACGGGUGUGAGAGUGGAAAGUUCACACUGUGACGGUAUCUUACCAGAAAGGGACGGCUAACUACGUG
rnacentral:rRNA from 1 species